AGGACUCACAGCUUGCCUCUUUCCUUGUUUGGACAUAACAGUGAUGGACCAGAUUUUUCUGGGAGCAAGUACCUGGCCUUCAGCUUGUGCCAAAGGUGCAAUGGAAGAAUGCCUUUCAGGAACAUGGAAAAGGGCAGGAAAGCCCAGGAUUAUCCUGUAAAGUCCUCAGAGUCUCUUCAGGACCAGCAGCAAGACACCUCUCACUUGGAGCAGCCAUCUCUGGCUUCAUAUGCUGUCCUGCACCCUGUCAGGCACCAUCUGCUUGACACCACAUCUCUUGCUGAGACCCUGCUACCCAGAGGCAUCUCACCAUGGCACGAACAGGUCUGCCACCUCUGCCUGGUUCUUGAGCAGGUCUUGUGGUGUGGGACCAGAUCCAGAAGGAAGUUAAGGCUUGGUGUGGCACAGGGAGUAGUUCUGGCUGAGCACCAAUGUGCUGUGAUGUUGAUUGUGAAACCAGGAGCUGGAGGGGACUGAUGGAAGUAACUCAAAGUCACAAUCCAGGGAAACAUCUGAGGUCAAGAUCUAGGUGUAAAUGAUAAAAUAUGAAGGAGGGAAGAGAAACGUAAAAAACAGCACACAGCUGUGUUUAAAGAACAGAGGACUUAAGAAAAGAAUAAGUAGCUUAGGGGACCUGAGGGCAAUGUUGAUCACAUGGAUGGCACCUGCGCCAUAAAUCUUGGCAUGGCGGCAAACCAGCAGAUGUUUUGGAGCUGCUGGGAUACUGCUUUCUGAUCCACCUGUGACAUGCCCAACCUGGCUACACAAAGGCCCACAGCUGAGUGUUGUCACUCUGACAGCUCAGUUCCACUAUACUGCUUUCUCAUUCCCCUUGCUCAAAAGAACUGGGAGAGAAAAUAUGAUGAAAAAGGCUCACGAGUUGAGGUAAGGACAGGAAUGUCAUUCACCAAUUACUGUCACGGGCAAAACAGACUUAAUGUAGAGAGAUGAAUGUACUUUAUUGAGUAUUGCUUACAAACUAGAGCAGCAAGAACUAAAAGAAAACUACAAAUGCUGUCACCCCAUCCAGUCCUGUCCUGUCUCCUCUCUCUGAGUGGUGCAGGGGAAUGGAGGCUGCAGUCAGUCUAUAGUGCUUUGACUUUGCUAUGGCUUGGUGUGGUCUGCCAUGGUGGCCUGGGGCAGCGUGCCAGGAGGAGUCUGUGACUGCAGCCUCAGCAGGGCUACUUGAAGGCACUGUUGCCACCACAGAUUUGUAUUAAAUUACAGUAUGAAUUUUCCUACAGAUGCUGGAAAAACCGUAAGGUAGUGAUGGAUAAUCAUACUGCUUCUGGUUUUUACUGAAUCAUUAUAGUGCCUCUUCUCCUUCACAUUGAUUUCCUCUAAAGAACAGAAAGCUGAAUGUAAGUUUGAUUAGUUACUGAAUGCCAGGACAGAAAAGGCAGAGGAAGAUGGGAGCUUGACAAAUGGAAAUAAGUUUUUUGUGGAGAGUAAUUCAAGCUUUUUUGUACAGUGUGUG
rnacentral:lncRNA from 1 species